rnacentral:lncRNA from 1 species
CGAUAUUGUUGGGUCAAUUCAGGUUUCAUUUUAAUUAAUUUGAUAUCAAUAGAAGAAAAAUUGUUACAUGUUUAUUUGUUUAUUUGUUUAUAAUUUUGUUGUGAGGCGUUUUCUCUUUCUGUUGAUAUCAUAAACACGAAAUGCCUUCUCCAACGCGUCUAAAACAAAAAAAAACAGUGUUUUUAAGUCAGGCUGCACACAGAACAACGUACAGAAUGCUGUGAUUUCUAAUUGGAG